rnacentral:rRNA from 1 species
UGGGGAAUAUUGCACAAUGGGGGAAACCCUGAUGCAGCGACGCCGCGUGAACGAAGAAGUAUUUCGGUAUGUAAAGUUCUAUCAGCAGGGAAGAAGAAUGACGGUACCUGACUAAGAAGCACCGGCUAAAUACGUGCCAGCAGCCGCGGUAAUACGUAUGGUGCAAGCGUUAUCCGGAUUUACUGGGUGUAAAGGGAGCGCAGGCGGUGCGGCAAGUCUGAUGUGAAAGCCCGGGGCUCAACCGCGGGACUGCAUUGGAAACUACCGUACUGGAGUGCCGGAGAGGUAAGCGGAAUUCCUAGUGUAGCGGUGAAAUGCGUAGAUAUUAGGAGGAACACCAGUGGCGAAGGCGGCUUACUGGACGGUAACUGACGCUGAGGCUCGAAAGCGUGGGGAGCAAACAGGAUUAGAUACC